CCUACGGGAGGCAGCAGUGGGGAAUAUUGCACAAUGGGGGAAACCCUGAUGCAGCGACGCCGCGUGAGGGAAGAAGUAAUUCGUUAUGUAAAGCUCUAUCAGCAGGGAAGAACAGGACGGUAGCUGAGUAAGAAGCCCUGGCUAACUACGUGCCAGCAGCCGCGGUAAUACGCAGGGGGCAAGCGUUAUCCGGAGUUACUGGGUGUAAAGGGAGCGUAGACGGCAGUGCAAGUCUGGGGUGAAAGGCGGGGGCUCAACCCCCGGACUGCUCUGGAAACUGGACGGCUGGAGUGCGGGAGAGGAAAGUGGAAUUCCUGGUGUAGCGGUGAAAUGCGUAGAUAUUAGGAGGAACACCAGUGGCGAAGGCGGCUUACUGGACUAUAACUGACGUUGAGGCUCGAAAGCGUGGGGAGCAAACAGGAUUAGAUACCCUUGUAGUC
rnacentral:rRNA from 1 species